rnacentral:tRNA from 1 species
GAGCCGUCUGGAGUGCGUAAGAACUGCUAAUUCCUUGCUACCAUGGUUCGAUUCCAUGGCCGGCCCG